UUCUUUUCUUCUUCUUUCUCUACACCUUUGCAACAAACCCAACAUCCUUUGUUCCAUCACUCCAACAACAUUGCUACAGAAUUUUAAGUUCUAAUAUUGUUCGUCAUCUUUGAGGAUGGUUUUGGUUACUAUUUGAGUGACUGAUUUACUGACUCUGUUUUCAAAGAGACAAUCUGAAGUAGCAGCAAGCAUGGAGAACAACCAUUUGGUCGAGGCUGGGGAGAGGUUGUAAUUUCACAAGCAGAAUUGAAGCUUAGAGCAUAUUGCACUGAUUUUCUAGCUAAACAAGUGUUGUUUGUUCCCUUAUAAUUUUGGGUUUAAUAUUUAGUACAUUUGAAUUGAACUUUCAUCCAAUUUGUACAACUUAAAUUUAAAAAUGGAAUGCUUUUAUCUUCUUA